AUUGAACGCUGGCGGCAGGCCUAACACAUGCAAGUCGAGCGGGGUUUUCGGACCUAGCGGCGGACGGGUGAGUAAUGCGUAGGAAGCUACCCGAUAGAGGGGGAUACCAGUUGGAAACGACUGUUAAUACCGCAUAAUGUCUACGGACCAAAGUGUGGGACCUUCGGGCCACAUGCUAUCGGAUGCGCCUACGUGGGAUUAGCUAGCUGGUGAGGUAAUGGCUCACCAAGGCGACGAUCCCUAGCUGGUUUGAGAGGAUGAUCAGCCACACUGGAACUGAGACAGGGUCCAGACGCUUGCGGGGAGAAGCGGUGGGGAAUAUUGGACAAUGGGCGCAAGGCUGAUCCAGCCAUGCCGAGUGUGUGAAGAAGGCAUUCGGGUUGUAAAGCACUUUCAGUAGGGAGGAAGCGUUGUGUGUUAAUAGUACACAGCGUUGACGUUACCUACAGAAGAAACACCGGCUAACUCUGUGCCAGCCGCCGCCGUAAUAC
rnacentral:rRNA from 1 species